rnacentral:rRNA from 1 species
UACGUAGGGGGCAAGCGUUGUCCGGAUUUAUUGGGCGUAAAGAGCGUGUAGGCGGCUUUACAGGUCCGUUGUGAAAACUCGAGGCUCAACCUCGAGACGCCGGUGGAAACCGUAAAGCUAGAGUCCGGAAGAGGAGAGUGGAAUUCCUGGUGUAGCGGUGAAAUGCGCAGAUAUCAGGAGGAACACCCGUGGCGAAAGCGGCUCUCGUGGGACGGU